GAUGAAGAACGUAGCGAAAUGCGAUAAGUAAUGUGAAUUGCAGAAUUCAGUGAAUCAUCGAAUCUUUGAACGCACAUUGCGCCCGCCAGUAUUCUGGCGGGCAUGCCUGUUCGAGCGUCAUUACAACCCUCAGGCCCCCGGGCCUGGCGUUGGGGAUCGGCGGAAGCCCCCUGCGGGCACAACGCCGUCCCCCAAAUACAGUGGCGGUCCCGCCGCAGCUUCCAUUGCGUAGUAGCUAACACCUCGCAACUGGAGAGCGGCGCGGCCACGCCGUAAAACACCCAACUUCUGCAUGUUGACCUCGAAUCAGGUAGGAAUACCCGCUGAACUUAAGCAUAUCAAUAAGCGGAGGA
rnacentral:misc_RNA from 1 species